rnacentral:rRNA from 1 species
AUUGAACGCUGGCGGUAGGCCUAACACAUGCAAGUCGAGCGGAUGAAGGGAGCUUGCUCCUGGAUUCAGCGGCGGACGGGUGAGUAAUGCCUAGGAAUCUGCCUGGUAGUGGAGGAUAACGUCCGGAAACGGGCGCUAAUACCGCAUACGUCCUGAGGGAGAAAGUGGGGGAUCUUCGGACCUCACGCUAUCAGAUGAGCCUAGGUCGGAUUAGCUAGUUGGUGGGGUAAAGGCCUACCAAGGCGACGAUCCGUAACUGGUCUGAGAGGAUGAUCAGUCACACUGGAACUGAGACACGGUCCAGACUCCUACGGGAGGCAGCAGUGGGGAAUAUUGGACAAUGGGCGAAAGCCUGAUCCAGCCAUGCCGCGUGUGUGAAGAAGGUCUUCGGAUUGUAAAGCGCUUUAAGUUGGGAGGAAGGGCAGUAAGUUAAUACCUCGCUGUUUUGACGUUACCAACAGAAUAAGCACCGGCUAACUUCGUG